rnacentral:lncRNA from 1 species
GCCAAAAAAAAAUGGGAAGAAAAAAAUUCUAGAGACAUAAAGGUUAAAAAUCCCUUCUCAAUUUCUUUUAGAUAGAUACGGAUGGAUACAAGUUGUUUCCAUCUUAAUAUCUAUUUUAUGAUUACAUUUAUUAUUCUUAUCAAAAGAAGCCAUACUGGAUGGAUGACACCAUUCUUGAACAAAAAUUCAUGGAAGUAUCCAUUGUGCUGUUAUCUCCUUGUUUGAUUUUGAUUAUUUGAAAAUCACUUCUCUCUCACACUCAUCUUUAACACUUUUUUUCCAAAAAAAGAAAAAAAAAAUCAUUUUUCACAUUUCUCCUUAACUUUUUCUUACUUUUAAUUACACAUUAAAAAAAAAAAAAACUCCUCGUAGUAUCACUUCUCAAUUUUUUUUAUUGAACACACCAAUAGAGGCAUUUUCCAUAAUUACGAAUUGAUAGCAAACUGGUGCAUGAUACACUAUCUCCGUUGAAGGUGACAGUUUUGUAAUGCUUUUGGGAUCGUUGAAGGUGACAAUUCUAGCAAGGGUCAUUCUGAUCAUGAAUUUUGUGUGAUUUCUGCUAUAGGGUGUGCUUUGACUCUAUUUGGUCAAUAGUAUUUUUUGGGUGGAAUGUUGGGAACCCAAGAGUAGGGUACAAGUGCCGCUUGUAGACGUUGUGCAGAGGAAAAUGUUUUUGUGGAAUGGAGAGUUUUAGCUCUGUUUGAAGAGUUCGGUUUAUUUCUCUGCAAUCUAAUUUAUUUUCCAGGUGAGGAAAUUUUGGAGUUUUGUUCGUUGCAGUGGAAUUCGUGUUAAGAUGGAGAUUGUUAGAAUUUGGGUGUAAUCCGAAUUUCUUGUUGAAAUAAUUAUAAAGUUCUAAUUGAAGUACAUGUCAAUAAGAAUUCUAAUUGGAAUGCUAUUGAGAAAUCCUAAACAAAUUUAAUUGACAAAUUCUAGUUAAAAUUCUAUUUGGAAGCUAUUGGAAGAUGAAAUUUGUCUUGGACUUGAUGAGAUCAAAUAAGGAAUCUUUUAGCAUUUUAUUUCAUCUACAACUUUACUUCUAGGGAUGAAUUUUUUCCUAUAAAUACUAGACUCUUUUUCUAAAUUUGUGAAACUUCGUUGCUAUAGUUGUAUUAUCUCCAUAUUGUUUAGAAUAAAACAUUGGUCCAUCUGCUUAACUCUUUUUUUUUUGUUUCUUUAUUUUAAUCUUAUUCUAUUAAUUGUGAUCUUAUAUAUUUCAUAUUA